rnacentral:rRNA from 1 species
GAUGAACGCUGGCGGCGUGCCUAAUACAUGCAAGUCGAGCGAACAGACGAGGAGCUUGCUCCUCUGACGUUAGCGGCGGACGGGUGAGUAACACGUGGAUAACCUACCUAUAAGACUGGGAUAACUUCGGGAAACCGGAGCUAAUACCGGAUAAUAUAUUGAACCGCAUGGUUCAAUAGUGAAAGACGGUUUUGCUGUCACUUAUAGAUGGAUCCGCGCCGCAUUAGCUAGUUGGUAAGGUAACAGCUUACCAAGGCAACGAUGCGUAGCCGACCUGAGAGGGUGAUCGGCCACACCGGAACUGAGACACGGUCCAGACUCCUACGGGAGGCAGCAGUAGGGAAUCUUCCGCAAUGGGCGAAAGCCUGACGGAGCAACGCCGCGUGAGUGAUGAAGGUCUUCGGAUCGUAAAACUCUGUUAUUAGGGAAGAACAAAUGUGUAAGUAACUAUGCACGUCUUGACGGUACCUAAUCAGAAAGCCACGGCUAACUACGUG